UGUCCUACGGGAGGCAGCAGUAGGGAAUUUUCGUCAAUGGGCGCAAGCCUGAACGAGCGAUGCCGCGUGAAGGAAGAAGGCUUUCGGGUUGUAAACUUCUUUUCUCAGGGACGAAGCAAGUGACGGUACCUGAGGAAUAAGCCACGGCUAACUACGUGCCAGCAGCCGCGGUAAUACGUAGGUGGCAAGCGUUAUCCGGAUUUACUGGGUGUAAAGGGCGUGUAGGCGGGAAAGCAAGUCAGAUGUGAAAACCACGGGCUCAACCUGCGGCCUGCAUUUGAAACUGUUUUUCUUGAGUACUGGAG
rnacentral:rRNA from 1 species